rnacentral:siRNA from 1 species
CCGAUGUUAUCAAUAGUGUCCUGA